rnacentral:rRNA from 1 species
AUUGAACGCUGGCGGCAGGCUUCACACAUGCAAGUCGAGCGAGCGGCGGACGGGUGAGUAAUGUCUGGGAAACUGACUGAUGGAGGGGGAUACCUACUGGAAACGGUAGCUAAUACCGCAUACCAUCAGAUGUGCCCAGAUGGGCUUAGCUAGUAGGUGGGGUAAUGGCUCACCUAGGACACGAUCCCUAGCUGGUCUGAGAGGAUGACCAGCCAAACGGGAACUGAGACACGGUCCAGACUCCUACGGGAGGAAGCAGGGGGGAAUAUUGCACAAUGGGCGAAAGCCUGAUGCAGCCAGGCCGCGUGUGUGAAGAAGGCCUUCGGGUUGUAAAGCACUUUCAGCGAGGAGGCGUUACUCGCAGAAGAAGCACCGGCUAACUCCGUGCCAGCAGCCGCGGUAAUAC